CCCUUUAACCCUGCAGAGCUCAGAUUUAGAGUCAGGGCCACAGGUAAGGGAGAGGGAGACUUUCCCUGUGGCAGAUAUGCUGGGCCUCCCCACUUUUGCCCACGAGGUGAACAAUAGUGCUCUCUCUGUAGGUCACCCUGAACCUCUAGUAGAACGCGAUGAGAUUUAACACUGGUAAAUGAUUGAUGGGCUCUUCGCUGGUUGGGCCAAGGGGGCAGAGAGGGUUUGGAGAUGAUCCCGGGUACUGAGCUCGAGGAGAGAGAAUGAGAGCAAGAGAAAGCAGAGACAGGCUAGGACCUGAAGGGGAAUAGAAUGACUCUGGUUUUAGGCGUGUAGAUUGCAGUGAGAUGAAUCAGCCACAUGCGAAUGUCCUGCUGGCCUUAGAGAAAGGUCCUGGAGCCUGGGGUUGGGACGGAGAUGGACAUGCAGGGCCACAGCCUGGAGAUGACAGGUCCACGCUGGGUGGUCAUUGGAGAGUUUGCCGCUGCUGACCAGCUGGCCGUCAGUCCUGGAGCACCGAGAGGAGUGGAGGAUGCACAAGGACUGCAGUGGAGACGCUGCUGUCCCCCUCCCCUGAGCCCACUGGGACCUCUGGCUUUGCUGGCUGCGUGUGGUCCUGCCACACACUGACUGGCUCCCACUCCCAUGGGGCUAUGCCAAGGUGAGGCCUACCUUUGCCCCCCCGAAUUCAGAGGGAGGGGAAGGCCUGUGGUCCCCCACCUUUACAGGCAAGUUCAGAUGGCCUGAGCUAAUAGAUGUCGCUAACCAAUUAUGUGAUCUUGGCAGCUCACUUCACCUCAUUGUGACUCACGUGAAGGAUGCGGGUAUCACACAUAACCUUGUCGGGUGGUUGGGAACCUGCCCACUGGUCAGGUGCUUGGGUAGUAAGGGCUACUAUAAUAGGAUAAUGGAUGGCAGGUGUUUUGUAAACCUUAGGGUGAUAGGAGCAAGUCAGUUCCCAUGAUGAGGACUCCUACUCCGUUAUCGGGCUCACUUUCCAAGUUCUUUUAGAAGCUCUUUUAGAGUAGCCCCCUUCUCUGAGGAAGCUCCAGGGGCAAAUGCUCCUGACCCCUGCCUGGAAGGACCAGAUCCCCGGGUCAUAGGGUCAGGUGGGCCUCUUUUGUCCAAGGAUCAAGGGGGUGAAGAAGAGUCCCCUGCUUCGGUGUGGUCUGCCAAAAGCCACGCCACACUCCCCUCCACUUGAGGAGGUUGCUAGGUCCUUGCUCUGCGUGCAAGCUCUGUGCCUGGCCCAAGGGUCAGCCCCAUGUAGCAGGGCCACACAGAUGUCAAACCUGAAAUGCAGCUCUCUGGCUUUGCUGGUUCCAGUUCUGAUAGGCAUCUCCAGAGGCUGGUGAUAAGGAUGAUGGGCAGGUUGAGCGCUUUUCCUCCUUGUACUGGUAACUGCUGUGCGAUAGCAGCUCUGUAAUUGCUCAAUAAAACUCCCCCCACCGCCCAGGAUAGAUUUAUGGCCAAAAUGCAUUAUCUGAACUGAGCAUAUUUCAUCUGAGUGUACCUGGGUGUGUGUGGGAUGGGGAGGGAGAACAGACUGUCUGGAGACAGUUUCCGGGGGUGCUCAGGAAAUUCCUGCCCCCUCCUUUCCCCGAAGUGUUGUCUGGAAGCUCUUUCUAGAUCUGUCAGGACUUACAUGUCAUGGAUCUUCUCCUGAACCUAAAACUAUGUAGACACCCCAGGGAUGGGAGUGAUGAGGAAGACUGUGGCCUGGACAAGUUUAAUUUAGUUCAGUUCAGCAAAUUAAAUAGUGCCCAUUCUUGCCGAGGGCUAGGAAAGCUAUUAUUGUUAUUUAGCAGGGGGGGAAGGAGGGAAAGGCCUUGAGAAGGUGAAGAGAGAUGACAAGGAGCUUUUUUUCUUUUUUUUAAAGAUUUUAUUUAUUUAUUCAUGAGAGAUGAGAGAGAGUCAGAGACACAGGCAGAGGGAGAAGCAGAUUCCCUCUGGGGAGCCUGAUGUGGGACUCGAUCCCAGGACCCCGGGAUCAUGACCUGAGCCAAUGGCAGAUGCUCAACCACUGAGCCACCCAGGUGACAAGGAUCUUUUCUCUAGCUGCUUGAGGUGCCUGAUACACCAACAUUGGCUGGUGGGAGUGGGGUGGGGGCAGGAGGGGUGGGGACAGCCACG
rnacentral:lncRNA from 1 species